rnacentral:sRNA from 1 species
GCCAGAUGUGGUGGCAUGUAUCUGUAAUCCCAGUGACUUGGGAGGCUGAGACAGGAGGAUCCCAAGUUUCAGGCCAACCUGGCCAACUUGGUAAGACCCUGUCUCAA